GACGAACCGUGCGAACGUUGUUCGGAAUCACUGGGCUUAAAGGGCGCGUAGGCGGCGGGCCGAGUCCGGGGUGAAAGCCCCCAGCUUAACUGGGGAAGGGCCUCGGAGACUGGUCCGCUCGAGGGAGGUAGGGGUCGCGGGAACUUCCGGUGGAGCGGUGAAAUGCGUUGAUAUCGGAAGGAACGCCGGUGGCGAAAGCGCGCGACUGGACCUCUUCUGACGCUGAGGCGCGAAAGCCAGGGGAGCGAACGGG
rnacentral:rRNA from 1 species